rnacentral:lncRNA from 1 species
GGUGUUGGUUGUAUUUGGAUCCUUUUCUUUAUUUAUUUGAUGAUUAAAUUUGGUAUUUAAGGACCGUCAACAAACUCCCCCAAGCUUAGCUCUUGCUCGUGCCUGAGCAAGGAUAGACUUAGUGAUGGAUCAGAAGUUGCUACAAUGCCUUAGAAAGUUGACGGUACACAUGCUUUCAAACAAGGUCUUAUCUUUGAGUUAGAGUAAAAUGUUAAGACUUAAAACUUAUUCAUUUUACCUUCCACCAUGGGGCUUGCAACCAUCACUUAUGUCUUGAGAAGUUAAAAGAUAGAAUGAUCAAGUCAAGCGCCAUGUCUCUUGUUCUCUGAUCAACUAUAUCUCUGGAGUUUUUGCAGAUUUUCAAAAUAAAACUCAGAGAUUCCUUGUAUGACUCUCUCAAUUCUCUCUUUUGUGAUCUUUCUGGAUCCUCACCAAGGCAGUGAUGGUAUGUGCCUUCUCUCAAAGUAUGUAGUAUUUGUGGUAUGAGGCAUAGUGACAUUGCCUUCUCUCUCAUCCUACUCUAAUAAGGCUUUGAUAUCUGGAGCUCAUAGGUGGGGGAUAAAGUAUACAUACUUACAAUACAUUUAUUGCAUAGUCAAACUGUGCAUCUAGAGAAACAAGUCAAUAUGUCAAAUCAAGAUGUGCAUGUGUGGCGAAUGAAUGGUGUAUGGUGAUGAUGGUGAAAACAAUGGUGAAAGUCUAAUUCUACUUUUGCUCUUUUGGGGGGAUACAUACCUUUCUUGCACUUUGAAGCUUUUUGAGGAGAAUGAGAUGCUAUAUAUUUUUCUUUUUCUCUCAGGUGGUUAUCUUGUACCCCUAAUUCUACUGUUGGACACUUGUCCAUUUUUACCUCUUGUCUCACUUUUUCUUUUCUUCGAGGUUCCGGGCACUUGUCCCUUUUUAUUUCCUCAUAUUUUUCCUUUUUCUUCUCUUUUUUUAGAGCACUCACCCUCCUAGAAUAAUGUAGCAAGUGGUAGUAACCGAAACAUCUUGAGCAUUUAUUUCAUAGGGAAUAACAGGGAUAGGAUAAUGUUUUUGGCUGUUCUCUCCUGCAUAAGAGUAGAAUAAUUUUAGGAGAUGGAAAUGAGUGAAUGUAUAUGGAUGCGUACUUCUAGAGUAGAAGCAGCAUGUAUGAGUGAACAUCCAAGUGAAUCUUGAUUUUAACCACAUGACAAGCUCCUAAGGGUCUACAUAGCUUGACCACACUCAAUGCUCAUAAGUAGUAAAAAAGUAAAUGUAUAGUUCAUAGUCUAGCAAGCAUGUAUGUAUCGUCGUGGUAGCAAUUUAAACUCUCAUCAUCCAGGAACUCAUCAUGCAAUAUUUUAAAGAUUUUCAAAGAUAAAAUUCUCCAGAAUUCUAGCAUCUCUAGGAAUAGAUAAACAGCAGCUCAACCUAACCAAAUCAUAUCCGUUAACGACAUAGACAUU